rnacentral:rRNA from 1 species
ACUCCUACGGGAGGCAGCAGUGGGGAAUAUUGCACAAUGGGGGAAACCCUGAUGCAGCCAUGCCGCGUGUGUGAAGAAGGCCUUCGGGUUGUAAAGCACUUUCAGUAGGGAGGAAGGUAGUGUAGUUAACACCUGCAUUAUUUGACGUUACCUACAGAAGAAGCACCGGCUAACUCCGUGCCAGCAGCCGCGGUAAUACGGAGGGUGCGAGCGUUAAUCGGAAUUACUGGGCGUAAAGCGCAUGCAGGCGGCCUGUUAAGUCAGAUGUGAAAGCCCGGGGCUUAACCUCGGAAUUGCAUUUGAAACUGGCAGGCUAGAGUCUUGUAGAGGGGGGUAGAAUUUCAGGUGUAGCGGUGAAAUGCGUAGAGAUCUGAAGGAAUACCAGUGGCGAAGGCGGCCCCCUGGACAAAGACUGACGCUCAGAUGCGAAAGCGUGGGGGAGCAAACAGGAUUAGAUACCCUGAUAGCACAGAG